rnacentral:lncRNA from 1 species
CUCUGAGUACUUGUCAUGAGUCUCACGGGUCCUCCUUCCUCUUCCACGCCACAAUAUCAUUGACUGUGACAGACAUACGUCAUGUUUCUUUGGCUCUGCAUAACCACAUGUCCCAGGUGAAAUUAAUGUCUGCUUAUCUUUAAGGGUCUGGGAUUUAAUUAAAAAUGACAUUUCCCCAAACACGUAGCUGUGCUUCUAAUACUGCUGUUUGAAUUAGCUUAAGAGAUCCCUCUGAGCAGAAGGGAAAUAAGAAAGCUGUCAGCUGCUUACCCGAUCUGAGCCAUUUAUCCAUUAGAGCUUUUUUUUUUUUUACAGCAGCAAACUCUGUUCUGUCUGAAAUAACAGAACAAUACGUGUAAUUUCAUUUGAUUCGCUAAAAUCAUGGUAACUUUAGAUAUGCAUUUUACUUGUUUUGUGGAAGAGCCAGAUAUUGUCAUCCAGUGUGACUUUAUAUUACUAUGACUUUAUAUUAGAGCUUUACUUUAAACUGAAAUCUAAUAUUAGGCAGGGCUUGAUGAACAUUUUGAACUACCAGUACAACACAUAUUUAGCUCUUGCGUUUUUUGCUGUAAUUAUAUGCAGAGUGCUAUUUUCUUAUUAUACUGUGCAGAUACAGUGACAUAGGCUACAUUCACAUUACAAGCCUCAUUAAUCAAUUCUUUUCUUUUCUUUUUUUUUUGCCCAGGUAAGAUAUGGAUGUUCAUGUUCAUGAAUGUGUGACCUGUCUCUACCGUGAUGAACAAAUCUGUCCCUGGAGCUAAUCUGAACCAGUAUAGAUCAAACACUACACGACUGGGCAUGACACACUACACAACAAGAUCCCUGAUGACAUGGACCACCAUUGACAUGACUGUAUCAGGAGAUUCAGGUGCCAACAUGGAGGUGCACGAGCAUGCUGGGUUGGGAGAAGUGGUCAGCAUGGUGUCUACAUACAUUAUGUAAAGAGCUGAAGGCAGAAGACAGGGUUGGUUCAGAGAAGAGUUUACACUACCAGAUUCAGCCCAAAAUCAAGCUGAAAAAUUUUCUACAACUGAAGUCGGAUGCAAUUUUGAGGCUAAAAAUCGAGGCACAGUCUAUUAUACACUACAUGACUUCACUCCAACUGUGA